UCGGGUAUGGUGUAACGGCUAACAUUGCCGCCUCUCAUUCAUGAUCGCGGCAGCUCGGGGUUCGAUUCCCCGUACCCGAA
rnacentral:tRNA from 1 species